rnacentral:rRNA from 1 species
UACGGAGGGUGCAAGCGUUAUCCGGAUUCACUGGGUUUAAAGGGUGCGUAGGUGGGUUGGUAAGUCAGUGGUGAAAUCUCCGAGCUUAACUUGGAAACUGCCAUUGAUACUAUCAAUCUUGAAUAUCGCGUAGGUAAGCGGAAUAUGUCAUGUAGCGGUGAAAUGCUUAGAUAUGACAUAGAACACCAAUUGCGAAGGCAGCUUACUUCACGAUCAUUGACACUGAUGCACGAAAGCGUGGGGAGCAAACAGG